CUUGCUUCCGCUGACGACCGGCGCACGGGUGCGUAACGCGUAUGAAACCUACCUUUUACAGGGGAAUAGCCCAGAGAAAUUUGGAUUAAUGCCCCAUGGUUCUAUAAUAUUGCAUAAUAUAAUAGAUAAAGCUUCGGCGGUAAAAGAUGGUCAUGCGUGACAUUAGAUUGUUGGUGAGGUAACGGCUCACCAAGUCGACGAUGUCUAGGGGUUCUGAGAGGAAGGUCCCCCACACUGGUACUGAGACACGGACCAGACUCCUACGGGAGGCAGCAGUGAGGAAUAUUGGUCAAUGGACGCAAGUCUGAACCAGCCAUGUCGCGUGCAGGAAGACGGUCCUAUGGAUUGUAAACUGCUUUUAUACGGGAAUAAAUAGAUCUACGAGUAGAUUUUUGAAGGUACCGUAUGAAUAAGGAUCGGCUAACUCCGUGCCAGCAGCCGCGGUAAUACGGAGGAUCCGAGCGUUAUCCGGAUUUAUUGGGUUUAAAGGGUGCGUA
rnacentral:rRNA from 1 species